UGGGGAAUAUUGCACAAUGGACGGAAGUCUGAUGCAGCGACGCCGCGUGGGGGAUGAAGGCUUUCGGGUUGUAAACUCCUUUUGAUGCUGAACAAGGCUCUUUUUAGGGUUGAGGGUAGGUGUUGAAUAAGCGCCGGCUAACUACGUGCCAGCAGCCGCGGUAAUACGUAGGGCGCGGGCGUUGUCCGGAAUUAGUGGGCGUAAAGGGCUCGUAGGCGGUUUGUCGCGUCUGCUGUGAAAGACCGGGGAUUAACUCCGGGGUUGCAGUGGGUACGGGCAGACUAGAGUGCGGUAGGGGUAGGUGGAAUUCCUGGUGUAGCGGUGGAAUGCGCAGAUAUCAGGAGGAACACCGAUGGCGAAGGCAGGUUACUGGGACGUUACUGACGCUGAGGAGCGAAAGCAUGGGGAGCGAACAGG
rnacentral:rRNA from 1 species